UGAGGAAUAUUGGUCAAUGGGCGAGAGCCUGAACCAGCCAAGUAGCGUGCAGGAUGACGGCCCUAUGGGUUGUAAACUGCUUUUAUGCGGGGAUAAAGUGUGCGACGUGUCGUGCAUUGCAGGUACCGCAUGAAUAAGGACCGGCUAAUUCCGUGCCAGCAGCCGCGGUAAUACGGAAGGUCCGGGCGUUAUCCGGAUUUAUUGGGUUUAAAGGGAGCGUAGGCCGCCAGAUAAGCGUGUUGUGAAAUGUAUCGGCUCAACCGGUGAAUUGCAGCGCGAACUGUUUGGCUUGAGUGCACGGUAAGCAGGCGGAAUUCAUGGUGUAGCGGUGAAAUGCUUAGAUAUCAUGAGGAACUCCGAUUGCGAAGGCAGCUUGCUGCAGUGCGACUGACGCUGAUGCUCGAAGGUGCGGGUAUCAAACAGG
rnacentral:rRNA from 1 species